GAUGAACGCUGGCGGCGUGCCUAAUACAUGCAAGUCGAGCGAACGGACGAGAAGCUUGCUUCUCUGAUGUUAGCGGCGGACGGGUGAGUAACACGUGGAUAACCUACCUAUAAGACUGGGAUAACUUCGGGAAACCGGAGCUAAUACCGGAUAAUAUUUUGAACCGCAUGGUUCAAAAGUGAAAGACGGUCUUGCUGUCACUUAUAGAUGGAUCCGCGCUGCAUUAGCUAGUUGGUAAGGUAACGGCUUACCAAGGCAACGAUGCAUAGCCGACCUGAGAGGGUGAUCGGCCACACUGGAACUGAGACACGGUCCAGACUCCUACGGGAGGCAGCAGUAGGGAAUCUUCCGCAAUGGGCGAAAGCCUGACGGAGCAACGCCGCGUGAGUGAUGAAGGUCUUCGGAUCGUAAAACCCUGUUUUUAGGGAAGAACAUAUGUGUAAGUAACUGUGCACAUCUUGACGGUACCUAAUCAGAAAGCCACGGCCAACUACGUG
rnacentral:rRNA from 1 species